rnacentral:rRNA from 1 species
GAUGAACGCUGGCUACAGGCUUAACACAUGCAAGUCGAGGGGAAACGACGGGGAAGCUUGCUUCCCCGGGCGUCGACCGGCGCACGGGUGAGUAACGCGUAUCCAACCUGCCUCUGACUGAGGGAUAACCCGUCGCAAGUCGGCCUAAUACCUCAUGGCAUCGUCUGCGGGCAUCCAACGACGAUUAAAGAUUUCAUCGGUCAGGGAUGGGGAUGCGUCUGAUUAGCUUGUUGGCGGGGUAACGGCCCACCAAGGCCACAAUCAGUAGGGGUUCUGAGAGGAAGGUCCCCCACAUUGGAACUGAGACACGGUCCAAAGUCCUACGGGAGGCAGCAGUGAGGAAUAGUGGUCAAUGGGCGGGAGCCUGAACCAACCAAGUAGCGUGCAGGAUGACGGCCCUAUGGGUUGUAAACUGCUUUUAUGCGGGGAUAAAGUGAGGGACGUGUCCUUCAUUGCAGGUACCGCAUGAAUAAGGACCGGCUAAUUCCGUG